GAUAGGCCGGCGGCAUACAUAUGCAUGUCAGUCGAACGGUAACAGGAACUUGCUUGUUUGUUGACUAACGACUGACGGAUGAGUGAUGUCUGGCUGGCUGCCUGAUGGAUGGAGAGGGAUACCGACUGCAAACGGUAAUAACUACUAACUAACGACGAACGACCAAGGAGGCCUACCUUCCUGUCGCUUGCCAAUGUAUG
rnacentral:rRNA from 1 species